UCCUACGGGGGGCAGCAGUGGGGAAUAUUGCGCAAUGGGGGAAACCCUGACGCAGCAACGCCGCGUACGGGAUGAAGGCUUUCGGGUUGUAAACCGCUUUCAGCAGGGAAGAUAAUGACGGUACCUGAAGAAAAAGCAUCGGCUAACUCCGUGCCAGCAGCCGCGGUAAUACGGAGGAUGCGAGCGUUAUCCGGAUUUAUUGGGUUUAAAGGGUGCGCAGGCGGAAUGUCAAGUCAGCGGUAAAAUUUCGGGGCUCAACCCCGUCGUGCCGUUGAAACUGGCGUUCUUGAGUGAGCGAGAAGUAU
rnacentral:rRNA from 1 species